GCGAGAUAGCUCAGUUGGGAGAGUGUCAAAUUGAAGAUCUAAAGGUCACAUGUUUGAACCAUGUUCAUCGCA
rfam:Gossypium hirsutum cultivar TM-1 chromosome 6, whole genome shotgun sequence